UAUCCUACGGGGGGCAGCAGUGGGGAAUAUUGGACAAUGGGGGAAACCCUGAUCCAGCGACGCCGCGUGAGUGAAGAAGUAUUUCGGUAUGUAAAGCUCUAUCAGCAGGGAAGAAAAUGACGGUACCUGACUAAGAAGCCCCGGCUAAAUACGUGCCAGCAGCCGCGGUAAUACGUAUGGGGCAGGCGUUAUCCGGAUUUACUGGGUGUAAAGGGAGCGUAGGCGGUACGGCAAGUCAGAAGUGAAAGCCUGGGGCUCAACCCCGGAAUUGCUUUUGAAACUGUCGAACUAGAGUGUCGGAGGGG
rnacentral:rRNA from 1 species